GACGAACGCUGGCGGCGUGCUUAACACAUGCAAGUCGAACGGUGAACCUCUUCGGAGGGGAUCAGUGGCGAACGGGUGAGUAACACGUGGGCAACCUGCCCCCGGCUCUGGGAUAACUCCAAGAAAUUGGGGCUAAUACCGGAUGUUCACCGCUUCCCGCAUGGGUGGUGGUGGAAAGGGUUUCCGGCUGGGGAUGGGCCCGCGGCCUAUCAGCUUGUUGGUGGGGUAGUGGCCUACCAAGGCGACGACGGGUAGCCGGCCUGAGAGGGUGACCGGCCACACUGGGACUGAGACACGGCCCAGAAUCCUACGGGAGGCAGCAGUGGGGAGUAUUGCGCAAUGGGCGGAAGCCUGACGCAGCGACGCCGCGUGGGGGAUGACGGCCUGCGGGUUGUAAACCUAUUUCAGCAGGGACGAAGCGCAAGUGACGGUACCUGCAGAAGAAGCACCGGCCAACUACGUG
rnacentral:rRNA from 1 species